rnacentral:rRNA from 1 species
UCAAAGAUUAAGCCAUGCAUGUCUCAGUAUAAGCAACUUGUAUUUGUGAAACUGCGAAUGGCUCAUUAAAUCAGUUAUAAUUUAUUUGAUAGUGAUUUACUACAUGGAUAGCCGUAGUAAUUCUAGAGCUAAUACAUGCAUAAAGACCCGACUCGUGAGGGAAGGGUUGUAUUUAUUAGAUCGAAAACCAGCAUUGGGAGGGGAGGUAGGGCGUAAGUUCUAUUUUUUUCUCCCAUAAUUUUAUGGUGAGUCAUGAUAAAUGUCGAAUCGGAGUUAUUUUCGAUGUGUCAUUCAAAUUUCUGCCCUAUCAACUUGAUGGUAGGAUAGGGGCCUACCACGGUAUUGACGGGUAACGGAGAAUUAGGGUUCGAUUCCGGAGAGGGAGCCUGAGAAAUGGCUACUACUUCUAAGGAAGGCAGCAGGCGCGCAAAUUACCCAAUCCCAAUCAUUUUGGGGAGGUAGCGACAAAAAAUACCGAUGCGUGGGGUUUUACUCUACGUAAUUGGAAUGGUUUGGAAGCAAAUUGUCCAUAGAGCAGCCAUUAGAGGGCAAGUCUGGUGCCAGCAGCCGCGGUAAUUCCAGCUCUAAUAGUGUAUACUAAAUUUGCUGCAGUUAAAAAGCUCGUAGUUGGAUUUUGGAUGGAUCAGUUUUCGUAUAUGUUGCUGUUUGUAUUUGUUAAUGUUCUGUCUGUUACUAAUGACAGUUCAUUGACGUGCUUACAGUCGUAUGCGUUGAUUCGUCCGGUUUUUUUUUUCGAAAUUGUCCCGUCCCCUUUAUUGUGGCGAUGGGGCGAGCUCGGAGGGUUUACUUUGAAGAAAUUGUAGUGUUUAAAGCAGGCUUUUUGCAGCUGAACACAUUAGCAUGGAAUAAUAAAAUAGGACAUCUGAGCAGGUUCCUACCGUGGGUUCCACCCAUUCGAUCCGUUCAGGUGGGGGUACAUCCAUUCCCUUCCUCUUUCGGGGGGUUGGGGGUGGGUCUUGUGUUCUCAGCUGAGGGUUAAUGGGUAUUUCUAACGGGCGUGCGGGGAUUGGGCUUUGCUAUCAUUUAAAAGAUAUCUAUUUUGUUGGUUUUUGGAAAGGGGGUAAUGAUUAAUAGGGACAGUUGGGGGCAUCCGUAUUGCAUUGUCAGAGGUGAAAUUCUUGGAUUUAUGCAAGACGAACUAGUGCGAAAGCAUUUGCCAAGGAUGUUUUCAUUAAUCAAGAACGAAAGUUAGGGGAUCGAAGGCGAUCAGAAACCGCCGUAGUCUUAACUAUAAACUAUACCAACUAGGUAUUGGAGAGAGUCUCUUAAUGGCCUCGUCAGCACCUUUAGAGAAAUCAAAGUCUCUGGGUUCUGGGGGGAGUAUGGUCGCAAGGCUGGAACUUAAAGAAGUUGACGGAAGGGCACCACCAGGCGUGGAGCCUGCGGCUUAAUUCGACUCAACACGGGGAAACUCACCAGGUCCAGACACGGGAAGGAUUGACAGAUUGAUAGCUCUUUCUUGAUUCUGUGGGUGGUGGUGUAUGGUCGUUCUUAGUUGGUGGAGUGAUUUGUCUGGUUAAUUCCGAUAACGAACGAGACCUUAACCUGCUAAAUAGCUCAGUUUCGAGAUUUAUUUCUCGAGACCUUUAUAAGAGAGCUUCUUAGAGGGACUACCAUGGUUGCACAUGGUGGAAGCUUGAGGCAAUAACAGGUCUGUGAUGCCCUUAGAUGUCCUGGGCCGCACGCGCGCUACAAUGAUGCAAUCAACAAGCUUGUGCUUGUCCGAAAGGAUUGGCUAAUCUUUUAAAACUGCAUCGUGCCUGGGGAUUGAUCUUUGUAAUUUUGGAUCAUGAACUAGGAAUACCUAGUAAGUGCAACUCAUCAGGUUGCGCUGAUUACGUCCCUGCCCUUUGUACACACCGCCCGUCGCUCCUACCGAUUGAAUGAUCAGAUGAAAUGCUCGGAUUUGUGACUUGCGGCUUCUUCGGGGGUUGCGGGUUGUGAAGAAGAGUAGUAAAUCUUAUUAUUUAGA